rnacentral:misc_RNA from 1 species
GAAAUGCGAUAAGUAAUGUGAAUUGCAGAAUUCAGUGAAUCAUCGAAUCUUUGAACGCACAUUGCGCUCGCCAGUAUUCUGGCGAGCAUGCCUGUUCGAGCGUCAUUUCAACCAUCAAGCUCUGCUUGCGUUGGGGAUCCGCGGCUGCCCGCGGUCCCUCAAAAACAGUGGCGGGCUCGCUAGUCACACCGAGCGUAGUAACUCUACAUCGCUAUGGUCGUGCGGCGGGUUCUUGCCGUAAAACCCCCAAUUUCUAAGGUUGACCUCGGAUCAGGUAGGAAUACCCGCUGAACUUGAGC